rnacentral:rRNA from 1 species
CAGUCGCCGCGGUAAUACGAAGGGGGCUAGCGUUGUUCGGAAUUACUGGGCGUAAAGCGCACGUAGGCGGAUAUUUAAGUCAGGGGUGAAAUCCCAGAGCUCAACUCUGGAACUGCCUUUGAUACUGGGUAUCUUGAGUAUGGAAGAGGUGAGUGGAAUUCCGAGUGUAGAGGUGAAAUUCGUAGAUAUUCGGAGGAACACCAGUGGCGAAGGCGGCUCACUGGUCCAUUACUGACGCUGAGGUGCGAAAGCGUGGGGAGCAAACAGGAUUAGAUACCCCUGUAGUCCCUGUCUCUUAUAA